CAGAGUUGUAAAACUCCCAACCCUUUGUGAACUUACCUUUGUUGCCUCGGCCUAUGGGGGAGUAUAGGUUACCCUGUAGGUACCCUAUAGGCCGACGGACCACUAAACUCUGGUUUAUUUUAUAUCUCUGAGAAACUUUAUAAAUAAGUCA
rnacentral:misc_RNA from 1 species